GUUCUUCAAAGCUCUAAAG
rnacentral:sRNA from 1 species